GGUGGGGAAAAAAAUGGGGACAGCUGGACCAACUUUUGCGCGCGCUGAAUUGAUUUCCCACCCUUCUUUUCCUCCCUUCGGAACAAAGAGAGGGCGCUUUUUUAGGUGGCCGACGGGUGCUGCCUCUAGCGGCCAGACAUAAUCUCUCGUGUCUGCUUCUCGCGUGUAUACUCACUAUCUCCCAGCUUGUUGAUCUUUUGUGAUUGCCAUUGUUUCUCUGAGGUUCUCGUCUACUUAUCUCUCUCGAAAACACAACAAAAAAUAGAAUUGUUCAUAUUUAGAAGAAAUCUUAGGUGAAAAACGAAAUGAAAAGAUAAGGAAAAAUAGCCGCAGAUGGGAACCGCGUGGGGGCACACAUGGCAGCUGCGUCCAACGAGACACGGUCGACACAUGGCGGUUCCAAUUGAAUUAUUUCACAUACGACAGCAGUUGCUUUCGUGAUGGUGCAGGAUCGCAACGGACAAAAAAAAAAAACACACACACACACAAAAGAGCAACAACAAAAAAUCGUCUUGAAUUAAAGAACGAUGGAGUAAAAAAAAAAAAACGAGAGUGGAGCGAACAAAAGAUGCAUUUUUUCCCACGAACAAAGAUGGCGUCAGCGUCUAUAAAUCAGCAGCGCGUCUUUUUUUUUUUUCUCUUCUUCUUUCUGAAUUUCUCGAUAGUUAAAAACGAUCUAACCUUUUUCUCUCUUCUAUACAUAAAGGAUCUUUUCCUAACCGACAUUUUCACUUUUAAAGAGCAUCUGCUGUUCAAUAUAAAGAACAACAACAAGCAAAACGAGUACUACUACUAUAUCGGAGAUAUCAAAAACCGAUAGGCUGAAAAACCCGUGUGGAUUUCACAGUGGGAAAAUAAAAAAAAUAAAAGAAUUUUCUUUUGUGUCUUUUCAGGUAGGCGCCCCGUAACGGAACUUUUUCCAGCAGCAGCAGCAGAAGGUCGACGGAAAGAUGAGAGAGCUGUGUGUGCCACAGGGCGAAAUCAACCAAAAAUAAGAUUUCCCCACCAAUUCGUGAUGAACGUCGACGAGCUUACGGUUGCUGACCUUUCACCUGGAAUUUACUCGCCAUUCGUCUUCCACGAGUUUUCUUGUUAUGCUCACAGGAGGACCAUCUGCUGCACACACAUCGCCACUUCCACAUAUUUGCUCAGUUGGUCAGACACAAAAACAUCUGGAAACUGGGAUAGAAAAAAACAAAAAAACAUGGCCGACUUUGAAACAAAACGAUCUUUUUUUUUCCUAUUUAAUGAGCCCUUGAACUUUUUUCAUCAUUAAGAAUUCAAUGUCAUGACUGGAUAGGAAAUAAAUCGAUAAUACAAGAAAACGAGUUUUAAAGAAAACGAAAAUUGUCGUCUAAACAGGAAAAAAAAAAAGAACGUGGAACUUUGAAAAAGACGAAAAUAGCUCACGAUGGGGGGUUUCAAAUUUCAAAGUCCCCCCCACCCCCUAACAUGCCACAUGGUCUGUCUGUGUAUAAGCCCAGCAUUUUUCGUUAAAAAAGAAAAAAACUCUUUGUGUUCUUUCUCGUUAGACACGCACUUCGUCGUGUCCGUGCACAUUUAUAAGGCCCCGUAUAAAUGACCUCCAUCUUAAAUAACCUUUCACCUUCAUUUGCCUAGGUCGAAUUCGGUUAGAAGGUUGUAAAAAAAAACCAAAAAAAAGAAAUCUAUGAUUGCAGGGGUAAUCAUCAAUGUGCGAAAUAAACGUAUCGUUCUCACGGUCAACAGCUGCCGACGAAACAAAGAGAAGGUCCUUAUCUGCCAUCUUGUGUGUGUGUUUGUCACAUGGCAAUUUUUUAUUGUAGUGAUUAUCUCGAAGGCCUAGGAAAAUAUAAUGAUUUCCUGUCGGACGCCAGAGGGCUGUUUUCUGCGCCGUAAGUUUUUAACAUACACACACAAGAGAGCAAAACUCAAGACAUUUCUUUUUAACAAACACAUGCCCUCCAGAAAGUCCAAAAACCCCUGCGGAUACGAAAAAGAAGAACCUUUCCGCUGGGGUAACACUGAAAAUUUGCUUAAAUAUUUGUCUAGCCCGAGGCUGAACGUCCUUUUGCCCUUCAAAAAAGUUUCUGUUUUUCGUUAACUAGAGAGAGAGAGCUGAACCGGUUUUAAAUAAAAAAAAUAAAAUACAUUUUCGAUCCGCAUAAUUCAUGAAACGCAUUUCGGAAUUAACCCCCCACCCCCUUUACACGAGUAAAAAUAAAUUUUAUAUACACACGAAAACGCAUUAAAAAGUGUGACAGGACGGUGUGUGUGUGUGUGUGGCGGCGUUCUAUUGUUGGGGGUGCGCCGGACGUUGCUCAUUUGUUACAUAGUGAAAAACCCAGUUUCCGGCCCCCCUUCCUCCCGUGUCAGCUGCCAUUUUUCAAACAAUGUUUAAAAAAAUAUAUAUAUCAAAAUUUAAAAAAAUAAUAAUAAUAAUAUUCUAUUCCGUGAAGCCG